UUAUCAGUUAACAAUAACAGCUAUUAGCUAACAACAACAAUUAUUAACUAACCGCUAUUAAUUGUAUUCAAUAUUUAAUCCAAACAUGCCCUUAAUGAGAUAAAUACGUAUUGCUAUUAGUCAAUCUCUUCGUCUUUUUCUUUGGCAUCUUUGGAAGAGAAGGAAUAUGUAUACCUUCAAUCGCCAAACCUUCCCUUAUCAACUCUUUCUAAGGCUAUCAGCCAUAACGAAGACUUCCUUGAACCUCAGAAGCUAGCUCAAGAGCUCCCUGUCCUCAGAAAAUAAAGAGAGACAAUCGGCUGCUGCCUCUUGGACCUUACCGAACCCUAACUAUGUCAAGAUUU
rnacentral:misc_RNA from 1 species